GAUGAAGAACGUAGCGAAAUGCGAUAAGUUAUGUGAAUUGCAGAAUUCAGUGAAUCAUCGAAUCUUUGAACGCACAUUGCGCCCGCCAGUAUUCUGGCGGGCAUGCCUGUUCGAGCGUCAUUUCAACCCUCAGGCCCCCAGUGCCUGGCGUUGGGGAUCGGCGCGGCGCCCUCCGGGGCGCUGCCGGCCCCGAAAUUCAGUGGCGGUCUCGCUGUAGCCCUCCUCCGCGUAGUAGCACAACCUCGCGGCCUGGAGCUCGGCGGUGGCCAUGCCGUAAAACACCCCACUUCUGAAAGUUGACCUCGGAUCAGGUAGGAAUACCCGCUGAACUUAAGCAUAUCAAUAAGCGGAGGA
rnacentral:misc_RNA from 1 species